UACGUAGGGUGCGAGCGUUGUCCGGAAUUAUUGGGCGUAAAGAGCUCGUAGGCGGUCUGUCGCGUCGAUCGUGAAAACUUGGGGCUUAACCCUGAGCUUGCGGUCGAUACGGGCAUGACUGGAGUUCGGCAGGGGAGACUGGAAUUCCUGGUGUAGCGGUGGAAUGCGCAGAUAUCAGGAGGAACACCGGUGGCGAAGGCGGGUCUCUGGGCAGUAACUGACGCUGAGGAGCGGAAAGCGUGGGGAGCGAACAGG
rnacentral:rRNA from 1 species